CAGUCAGUCACUCACUCAGUCAUGGCACUGAUGUCAUCUCCAUGUGGCUGGCAGAGAGUAGUCCAAUCAGUUGCUUUAAAACAAGCCUGGAGGGCCUCUUCUGCUUCCUGUGACCAUUUCCAAACAGCCAUCUUUCUAAC